UACGAAGGGUGCAAACGUUGUUCGGAAUUAUUGGGCGUAAAGCGCACGUAGGCGGCUUAGCAAGUCGGGAGUGAAAUCCCGCGGCUCAACCAAGGAAGUGCUUUCGAAACUGCUGAGCUUGAGUACUUAAGAGGAUCGCGGAAUUCCCGGUGUAGAGGUGAAAUUCGUAGAUAUUGGGAGGAACACCAGUGGCGAAGGCGGCUCACUGGACCGGUACUGACGCUGAGGCGCGAAAGCGUGGGGAGCAAACAGG
rnacentral:rRNA from 1 species